AUUAUUUGAUUCUUUUAUUCAAAAAUGCUUGGUAACAUUACCCCUCUACCCCUCCCCCUCUCCCUCUCCGUCUCUCUCUCCCCUUAUUUCUCUCUCUCUCUUUCCCUCCACAUUUUUCUCUUCUCUCUCUCUUUUCCUCCAUCUUCACUUUCUAUCUCUUUUCCUCCAUCAUUCGUCGAAACUUCUCUUGCGCUACGACCAUUGUGAUAAGAUG
rnacentral:lncRNA from 1 species